rnacentral:misc_RNA from 1 species
CUGCUUUCUGCUUACCUGUCUUAUCAUCCAGUGAAUUGCUACCUCCGACCCACCCACCCGAUCUUUUCCUUUUCUCUGCUUGUCUUCCUUCUUCCCACCCCCACACCUCUGCUUGCUGCUCUUCUUGUGUACGUCUGCUUAUGCGCUUGUCUUGCGCGCCUGCGCCUACUUGCCUUCCUCUUUUCCUCUACCUCCUCUCGAUAGAUUCUCUACCACCCUCCCCACCGCCGUCACCACCACCACUACACCCCCCUCCCGUUUUCUCUCACGCUUGCUCCUUGUAGAGAGGUGGUUAUCGGUGCCAGCGCAUACGCACGCAAACGCAGAGCGGCGUUCACACGCUCGUGCUUUCACCUUCUACUUCGCUUGCUUUACGCUUCUUGACAGCUGGGUCGCCGUGCGGUGCCGGCACGCUCCACUCGUCAUCUUAUCCCUUUGCAUUUUCUCGGAGCGCUCUUCACCGUGUGCGCCCGACGAGGGCUCCGCAUCGUGCUGCUUUCGCAAACAUACAAAACAGGCGCGUUGGCAACAUGAACUACCAAGUCUUCAGCUACAUGCCAUCGGCGGCGUCCGCCCCGGCGACAGCGUCGUCUAGUGUCGCCGAUGCACCGCCGCGACCCAUCCGCGUCACCCCCUCCGCCUUGUCUGCCCUCCUGUACGCCAUUCUCUACUCUAUUGAGUUCCAAUCCCCCGUUGGGCCGCGCCCCCCCACGCUGCGCGAUCACGCGACGCCACGCGGCUCUGGCGGUGCGGUCAGCACCGGCGCGGCGGCGCCGUCGGCCGCCACGCUCUUAACCUCUGCAGUGUCUGUAAUGUCGAGCUUUUGGGGCCGAUAUCCCGCAACAAUGCAAAACCAGCAGCCAAUGCAGAACAAGUCGCAGCAGCAGGAUGCCUCUUUCCAACUAGCCACGGGUGCGACGGCAGCGGCGUUUCCUGGGUCCUUCGACGCCUCCCCGGAGACCUCCGCGCGGUCUCUGACGCUCGCCGAGACAGCUGAGUUGGCGGCGCUUCAGCGGCAGCAUGAGCAGCCGUUUGUCGUACCGGUGACGCAGGUCUUGCACAAGCUCGGAGGCGUGCACAUCACCGUCCGCGAGACGCACAAUCCUACUAUCACCAUCGCCUACAAUCGCGUGAUGGAAGAGAUUGAUGCUCUCGUGUCGGAGCACGAGCAACGGCUGGCUCGGCUCCCCCUUUCCAGCUCGCUGUCGUUCUCCAGCCAGGCACUGAUAGCGGGGCAGAGCACUUUGGCCAGCGCGACGGUGCUCAUCAACAGCGGUAUCGUGGAAGGCGGUGCCUCUGUGGCAGGCUCGCGAGGGGAGAACACAGCUGAAAGGCUAGCGCGCAACAGUAACACAGCGGGCCUUCCGGCGCCACAACAGCUGCCGCGGGCUCUUCUGCAGUCGGUUGAUCUGCGGCAGGCACUCCCUUCGCCGGCCUCCCCCAUGUCCCCGUUGCGGUCUGUCUCUGGGGUGGGCAGCCCCACGUCGGACGCCACCGCCGCAACAUGGGGUCGCAGCGGAGCCGGCUGCAACAGCGACUGUGGCGAUGCAUGGACUCUGGGCCGCGAUGAAGUCGGUAUGGUGCUCUCUGUGCGUUUAUUGUCAAAGGAGGUGACGCGGUGGCGUAUGGCCCACGAGCGGCCACUGGCGGAGUGGCGGUUCCCCAUCAUUCGAACCUCAAACGAGCGCUUGAUUCGGCCGCGCACGCAGAAUUCAGUGGCGACGGGGGCCGCAGGCAGUGCUGCCGUGGAUGGCACUGAGGCCAAUCGCCACGACUACCGCGGAGAGGGUGGGGCGCGGAGCGUCCCUGCGGAACUGACUCUCGUAAACGACCCUGCACAGGUACACCACGUGCUAGAGUUCAUCUUAAAGUCGAGCUACCAGACAACGAGCAUGGAGACGUUUACGGACUUCACCUCCGGCGAGCUGGUGUUUGACGCCCAUGUGCAGGAGAAGCACCGCUUUACAUAACGGUGUAUUUCUCUUGUUGCCUGCCCGAUUUCAUCUUAGAGAGAAGCUGCAGUCGCUCUGGCGUUGCGUGCCGCGCACGCCGCACAGUGAGGGGUCUCACUUGAUAGGGCUUUGCUCUCUUGCGAAUACCUGCUGGCCCGUGCGUGAGUGCAUGCAUGUGUGUCUGAUGGAUGCUGUUCACCUUCACAGGUGUGAAUGUCUUUGCCAGGAAGCCGUCUGCGUUCACGUGUUCAGAAUCCGCAAUCACACAUCUAUAAACAGAAAAGAGAAAACAGACGAGCUGCACAACGCGACACGCUCACUGGCCCCCCUCCCUCCUUCCCUCCAAGUUGCACUCACAGAUUGGUUUUUCGUUUUGCGUGUUGCGUGACAGCAACAAGCGAGGCGUUAUCCGCCCCUCCGCCUUCCACCCUGCACGUAGGCGCGCACGGAUGCUUGGGCGAUGACGCCACCCCUUUUUGCCUCCUUUGUUUCUCUCGCAUGUGCAG